AUUUAUUGGGAGUUACUCCCUGUACCUCCUCAAUUCCAACCCCCACCCCCCAAUUUUUUUGGAUUUUUUUUGAAUACAAAAUUAACCUUUAUGUUUUUUUUAUUUUUACCGUUUUACCCCUAUUUACUAAAGUUAACCUACUCUUUUACAGUCUGCCUCAGUCAAAAAACACAGACUCAGAUUCCUCUCCUUCGUAUUCUCACCUCCACCCCCACCAAAGCUUUUGAAACGCUCCUCCUCCUCCAAACGCUCUCUGCAACUCUCACUCUCCCAUUUAUACGUUAAAAAUAUAUUUAAAAAUAAUACAUCAAAACAUAUAAAUUCCAUUAUUAAAAUAUCUGAAAAUUAAUAUAAAAAGUAAACUAAUAAAAACAAAUUUUAAAAAUGGAAUGGGGGGUGGAGGUUAGAAUUGGGGAGGUACAGGGAGUAACCCCCUUAUUUAUUUUACUCGGAACAUAGGGACAAACUGGCCCAUUUUUAGGCCCAUUCAGUGUGUUCCAGAAGUCAAAAUCCAUUUUGAUAGGUCCAUGAAGAAAUCUAAACAACAUCUCGAUUCUUUUGCGGGUGUUUCAUCCUCCACCUCCAAGCUUUCAUCCUGCACCUCUAAAAAUUACCAUUUUAACCUUAAUUAAUAUUAUUUUUAUAUUUUCUCUUUCUUCAUAAAGUCAUUCUGCACCCCUCUAACUUUUUCUUUUUCUUGUUAAAGUCAACUUACACCCUUCUAAUUUUUCUCUCUCUUAUUAUAGUUAUCCUACACCAUUUUAAUAGACUUUAAAAU
rnacentral:lncRNA from 1 species